rnacentral:lncRNA from 1 species
GCAAGUCCAUCAAACUUGUCUAUAUAUAUAAGCCCUCCACCAUAUUAUACGUAUAACUCCAAAACCUCUAUCUCUCUCUCUCUACACUCUCUCUCUACUCGAUCGUUAUAUAAGAUGGACCAUCAGAACGACGCCGUAUCAACCACAAAUUCUUGUUCAAAGAAACCAUAUGAUAAAAGUGGAAGCUUUGUUGACAACUUAAAGAAUCGGUUUGAUGGUUUUGUCAACACUCCCAUGAAAGACCACAAGGAUUGCUUCAAAUUGUCGUGGCACCGGGUAUUUUUAAUUAAUAUUAAUUUUCUAAAUUUUAUUUAUUUAUAAAUUAAUUUCUAUAUUUGAUAAUUAUACAAAUAUCUUACAAGCUAUUUUUGUGAAUUACGUAGAUGAUUGAUAGAUUCUCGACAAAAACGACUUCAGCCAACGAAGAAGUUCAAACUCCGGUGACGGUGACUGAUCUUCAGCCAGCUUCAAGGAACUAAGAUAGAUAUAUUGUGUUUUUCAUGAUUUAUUUGAUUUUGCAAUUAUAUAUUCAGUUAAUAUGAUACGUUGGUAGCUAGAAUUUUAAUUUGUUUUUUCUUUUUCAGAGCUACAAUAUUUUUUUUUUAUUUAAUAAAAGUUAGGUUUUAUUUCUGCUGAGAUUUUAUCCACCACUUGUAUCUAUUUGAUUAUUUUC